GUUGGUUGGCUGCUCAGGAAGCUAAGCUGCUGCUCCAGACGACAAACUCUGAAGGCCAGAUAGCAGGACGACAGGACCAACAGGAAGACACUGAGAGACAGACGGAGUGAGUGCAUGUGUGUGAGUGAUAGUGGGUGAUAAACAGGCAGGUGGUGGCUGGUGAUUGGUCGAUUCGACAGGAUUGCUGCCUCUGGAUUGGUCCAACAGAUGACAGCAGUCUUUUGAACUCCAGCUGACAGAAACUCUUCCCUCCUUUACCUCUACCACUGCUUACAAAGCCAGCAUAUACAUUGUGUAAUUUAUGAGAUUUGUGUGUAAAUAAAUCCGUAGGCAAGCCAUUUUGACAGUUAUUAGUGUGCUUUGACUUCAUAACUAUGUCAGUUAUGGGAGAGCCAUUUGACAAAUUUGUAUAUGUAAUCUGAGGCUUGCAAUCUUGUAGUGCUAUCAGUCUGUAAAUAUUUUGCUAUUCUUUUUGGUCACUGUAAAUAUAGAGCAGUUUAAAGCAGUUAAGUACCAGUGAGAAGCCCUUUAUAUUAAGCAUUUUCAUGUUUUCUCUUGUUUUGAAUUUUAGGAGUGCAGGGUAGAAUCUUGUUUUGCUUGAGCUUUGUUUCUUUGUUAGGUAAGUUUAGGUUUGAACUACUGAACUUCUGUUUGUUGUUUUGGGUAUGGCUCAACUCUGACCUUUGAAAUAAACUAACUGUUUUCUGAUAA